AUGGAAACUAAGCUCUUCGAAGAGAGGCCGCGCCCCGCCGAGAGCGGGGGGACAUCGAGGGAGACAAAGCCCGAAGGAGCAGAUGCCAGAUUUCGCGGGCCCGCCUCUCAGCCUGCCACUGACUCCCAUCCGGGGACCUGUUCAGCUGGGAAUAGCGAGACCCCCUCGGUGCUGGUCAGAGGGUCGGGAAACAGUAGUCCCCUCGGUGGGGCGUCCCCCCGCUCCCUUUCGGUCAGAGCUGUGGAUUCUCUCCACCUUUCCCCUUGGGAGAGAAACCUCGCCACGCUUCUUCCAAGCGAACGCCCCAGGGAGACCCCAGAAAGGGGCCCUCAGACCCACAUCAUCCGACAAGAACCCAGCACAAUCGUUUUUGCCAACUACGAGUUUUUAUCCCCUGCCGUCGAUUCUGUGCUCCGCGGCCCAGAGGUCCCGGACGCCGAAGCCUCUUCAUAUGAGUCCGGGGAGGAGGAGGAGGGAGAAGAGGGUGACGAAGAUGUUUUCACCCAGCCAUCCCUUCGCGAGCCGUUUGUCCACGGCCUUCUCCCGAGCAUCAUUCCCGCAGACCAGCCAGAGGCAUGUGAAUUCCCCGAGGAGGGGGAUGUUUGUCUUACACCGAGCCCCCCGGGGCGUUGGGAGAGAGAACCUAAUGAACGGGCGACGGGAGAGAAGCAGAUCCACAAAGCGGGCCCAUCACGCAAACGGAGCAGAGAGCGAGCAGGUAAGCCAGAUGGGGCCGUAUAUUUCUUCUUAGGAGAGCUUAGUUUUGAGCAAUGAAUGCAUAAUUUACCCGUUGGGUAUCAGUGGAAAUUGGUAUUCUAGAUGCUAUCCUUGACCUUCAGUUGACAUGAAAGCCAACCUGCUCUUUAUGCUCUGUGGGCUUUCAAUAUAUGGGCGUUCUCAUUGGGGAAAGUGAGAAUUUCUUUUUCUUUGGGGGUUUGCUUUUUAAAAACUGGCUCAUUGAAUGUGAAUUUUUUCUAAAACUUGUCCACAGGAACCUGCUGUGUUAGUUCCUUUACUGUCAGGCUCAAGGUGCAGUUAUCAUUGGCCUGUUUGUUGAGGAGAGUUUGUUUUUAAUCUUCCGCUGUCACCUGUAGAAAGGUGUACUGUGGUCCCCAUCCGGUUUAUAAAUCCAAAUGACUGCCAGUGCAGAAGUUCAGUGGUUCUGCUGUCCUUUUGUAGAGGUGAUUGAACCUUCAGUUUCAUUUAUUCGGUUGCCACUGCUUGUGAGGAUCUUUCUGCUUAUUAGAGUGUCAGUUCCUUGCGGGCAGGGAAUGUGUUUUGUGGUUCUAUUGUAUUUCUCAAACACCUUACUAUAGUGUAUUUUCCUCAGUAAAUAUCUUUGCUGCUGCCAUUCCUCCUCUUCCUCCUCCUCCUCCUCCUCCUCCUCCUUCCAAACUGACCCUUCCACUUUUUCCAAAGAUUGCCUUAUCUUAAAAAAAACAGGUAAGCAAAACCUUUCGGCUCUCAAUGUUGCUGCUACCCAGGACCAUCAGACAAAGGUGCUUGUUUAACACAAAUAGCUGGAAUCCUGUUGUGAAAGCGGAUGUCUUCAUU
rnacentral:lncRNA from 1 species